rnacentral:rRNA from 1 species
UCCGUAGGUGAACCUGCGGAAGGAUCAUUACAGAAAGUAAACGCGGAUCAAACCGCGAACUUCUAAACCUUUGACGAUUGACUCAUGUUGCCUCGGCGGGCUCUCCCGCCAGAGGAUACAUCAAAACUCCUGUUUUAACGGUGUUGUCUGAGCUACAAGCAACGAAUCAAAACUUUCAACAACGGAUCUCUUGGUUCUGGCAUCGAUGAAGAACGCAGCGAAAUGCGAUAAGUAGUGUGAAUUGCAGAAUUCAGUGAAUCAUCGAAUCUUUGAACGCACAUUGCGCCCUUGUAUCCCGAGGGGCAUGCCUGUUCGAGCGUCAUUUCACACUCAGCUGCUUGGUGUGUUGGGGCGACGUCCCUUUGGACGCGCUCGAACGCUCGCCGCGUGCACGCUUUAGCGUAGCAGAAUCUUUCGCUUUGAGUCGGUCGUCUGGCGAGACUACUCGCAGUUGACUCGAUCAGCAGAUCCGCUGAACUUAGCCAUAUCAUACGGA